ACCACCCUUUAAUGGCUGGUGUUCUAACGUAGACCCGUAAUCCGGGUUGCGGACAGUGUCUGGUGGGUAGUUUGACUGGGGCGGUCUCCUCCCAAAGAGUAACGGAGGAGCACGAAGGUUGGCUAAUCCUGGUCGGACAUCAGGAGGUUAGUGCAAUGGCAUAAGCCAGCUUGACUGCGAGCGUGACGGCGCGAGCAGGUGCGAAAGCAGGUCAUAGUGAUCCGGUGGUUCUGAAUGGAAGGGCCAUCGCUCAACGGAUAAAAGGUACUCCGGGGAUAACAGGCUGAUACCGCCCAAGAGUUCAUAUCGACGGCGGUGUUUGGCACCUCGAUGUCGGCUCAUCACAUCCUGGGGCUGAAGUAGGUCCCAAGGGUAUGGCUGUUCGCCAUUUAAAGUGGUACGCGAGCUGGGUUUAGAACGUCGUGAGACAGUUCGGUCCCUAUCUGCCGUGGGCGCUGGAGAAUUGAGGGGGGCUGCUCCUAGUACGAGAGGACCGGAGUGGACGCAUCACUGGUGUUCGGGUUGUCAUGCCAAUGGCACUGCCCGGUAGCUAAAUGCGGAAGAGAUAAGUGCUGAAAGCAUCUAAGCACGAAACUUGCCCCGAGAUGAGUUCUCCCUGAGACUUU
rnacentral:rRNA from 1 species